UUUUAUACGUACUACUUUACUUACUGUAAGUAAACAGGUUUAGCUCCCUCAUUCCCGUCUCCUUUUGCCUUUUAUACAACUACUUAUCCCUUAAGCCUUAAAUUAACUAGUUAAGACUCACCAUCUGUUUUUGUGGUGAAAAAAUAUUGAAUUACACGUGGACGUUCCAGAUUAAAAGUGGAUUAAUGACAUCCGAGGGCCUGGAUUAGAAGCUGAGUAACAACCUAUAACUACCCGAAAUGGGAGGCAUACAUCGAAGCUUGUUCCGUCUCAAUUCACCAAAAUUCUCUCCCUAUUUCUCUUCUUCCCUAAUUUCUGUAUUCUUCUCUUCUUCUAGCUUUCAUUUCCAUUUAGCAUUUACUUGUAUUGUCCAUUUCUUACAGUUAAUAAGGAAACCCAGAAAAUCAUCCCAAAAUCGUGGUUAAUUACUUUUUAGUUACUGCUCAGCCCAUUACAAUUGGUAUCAGAGCCUUGUUCCUGCGACUGUGGCAUCACCAUGACAAUCAAGGAGGUGCAAAAACAGUUAGAUUCGGUGAUCAAAAAGCUGAAAAAAUACCAGCAACGAAGCAUUGAUUGUGAGUGUAUCGGAAAUGAAUGUUUAAACUGCGAUGAAGGUGUACGCAAGUGUCUGCUUUAAUCACAACUCUAGUUUAACUAGUAGACAGAAGUUGAAGACGAGGUGUUCGACGAAAUUCCCCAGAGGGAUGAACCUGAUAUGAGGAGCUUUCGGAUGCCACAUCUCCCGGAAAUGAAGGUCUGAAAUGCGAUGAAUUCGAGACAAAUCGACGUCCUUGAAGAUCCACAUGUACAACUCGAUUCUCUUGUCCUCGGUUGUACUCAGAGAUCUUGAUUUGGCCAGUGUCUGCUUUAAUACACGGCUGGAAUGUGUAGAAUAUAAGACAACUAAAGUUGCUUCCGACUUGUUUGAUAAACUGCCUGAAAGGGAUCAUGUCCAAGUAAUACAUGUAUGCAUAAGAAUUAAGAGCAAUUUCUCUCUUGCUCUAGCUGGAAAUGGAGUGAUUGUUCCUGCAUGGGAUCCAGGGAUAGGUUUCAAGACCGUGAAGUUAGUUGGUCACACAAAUAAUGUUUGAGAAUUAUCGAUGGAUAUUACUAACAUGUUUUGUAUGCAUAAAUCUUGUGAUAACAUCAGUAGAGUGUGGGAUACUGGAUGGCAGUGGUUUAUGCAUCCUUCUGUUGUGCAUAUUGAUUCUGUCUGUUUAUAUGCUGUCAUGCCAACGUAUAGUUCUGUUUACAGUGGUAAAGGAGACCUCUCUUCUUUCCAAACUCUUGAAGACCUCAAGGUAGAAUUGGGUUCUUUUGUUCUUGUUGGCAUUAGAGAGCAUUACAUGCCUGGGAGUAAUAGAGUAUAUGCGAAUAGUAUUAUAUCUGGAAACGUGAUUCUCCCAGGUAUUUUGCUUAAUGUUUCGUUUGAUAUUGGCAUAAAUUUGCUCACUACAACCUGUAGCAAGUUCGCGUGUCCUUUCGGCCAAGGUAUUUGAUCCUGGUUCAUGUACGCGCAUUAUAACCAGUAGUAAUCCCUUGUUUGACUGUUAUAAUAAAUGCCUGAGAACACCUUGUGCAGUCAAAUUAUUUGUAAGAAUAGUCCACUUAAAUACUAUUCCCUGGAAGUUUGCAAGCUCUUGCUAUAUGAAGGCUCUAGGGGAGAAACGAGCAUGGAAAUGUGUAUUUCCGAAAUUUCCAGCUACUGUUAAAAAGUUGCCUUGUGUGGAUAUGGAACUAAGGCGAAUUACUUGCUGGGAAGAAGCUGUAAAGGCAUCUUGCUACAAGUUGCCUAUGAAUUUUGUGGAGCGGUUAUUGAUGGAAGUUAGUAUACUGCUGAUUGGGAAAAAGAGGUUAUUUGAUGAUGUUUUGGAGAAUGAAUAUGAAAGAGGUGUAUUUUUCUCGAGACAUCCAGUUGACAAGCCACAUGGCUGUUGUUCUGGUUCAAAUAUUCUGUUGCAGGAAGUUAAGUCUAAAAAGCAAACAGAAAAGGAAGAUUUUAGAGUUCCCAAUUUUCAUAACUCCCAGGUGAAUCAGGGAAACAACAAAUUGAAAAAAAUUACGAGUCUGAUUACGAGACAGCAUGGUAAGAGCCGGACCGUUAAGGAGUCCAAAGAGUUUGCAGUAAGCACAGAGCAUUAUUGUAAAGGUACCUCAGAUACUUUAUCUAUGGAUAAGCGAGAAGGUAUUUUGAAGCGAACUGAUCAACUCUUGCAUUUUAAACUGAGAGGGAAUCCUGUUAAUACCUUUGGUGAAUCACAUAUGACCAAUAUUGUACAGUUGGAAUUCAGAUCUAGUUCUCAAGUUGAUUUCACUAUCUUUUCCGGAUUUGUCAUAGAUGUUGAUAAUGACUCCCAGGAAGACGAGACAUGUAAAUCAUCACAAACAGGAGAAAUGGACUGGAGUGGUGACUUAUCAGAGACUUCCAUGGUGGAGUAUUUAUCUGAAAUGGACAUAUUUCAUGACGAUGUUGUUAGAAUAAUUGGACAAAAACAUUUCUGGAAAGCAAGACGAGCUAUUGCCAGCCAGCAGAGAAUGCUUGCAGUUCAAGUAUUUGAGUUGCAUCGACUACUCAAGUUCCAGAAACUGAUAGCUGGUUCGCCAAAUGUGAUGCUAAAAAAUAGUGCUUAUCUAGGCAAACCAUUAAAGAGGUUGUCUGCUAAAAGAUCUCCAUUGGAGUAUAGUGUCAAGGCACCUGAAAAUGUUUCGCAGCCCAAGAAUGAUUCGGAGAAGCCUAAAUCUAGGAUCGAAAGUCAAUUUUGCAUGGUCCCUUCAUUCCAUCGGAUCGAUUGGUGUCCCUACAGUUCAUAUAUUCAAUUCAGUUCCGAGAUAAUGGAAUCAAGGAUAAGGAAAAAUAAAAGGCAGUCAUGUUUGAUUGUCAUGCUAGAUGCUACAUAUUUUUGUUUUCUAUUUGAUUCAGGCGGCUCCAUUGACACCAUUAAGAAGUUUACUGCUAUGCUAUUCAACCUGAUUGCUGUAGCUCAACACUCGAGGUCUUUCACAUCAAUUUCAGUUUGAUCCAGGCGGCUUCUUCAUAAAAACAUCCUGUUACUAGAGUGAUUCUAGAGCCACCUUGCUGUUUUUACACCAAAUGAUUCUAGAGUUGAGCUGGAAAGUAUAUUCAUCUCAACAAAAGGUGGACCUUCCUGUUGAGAUAAUCUUUAAGGAAUGGAGCGAAGCUUUUGGAUGGGACACAUAUUACCUGUUCUACUUGCUACAAUAUAUAAUCAGAGAUAAGCAACUUCUGCGCGCUAAGCUUGGAGAACACUGUUUGGAUGUUCCUUUUGAUCCUGGUGACUCCAGUUCUGCAUUUACCGCCCUUGAGGACAAGAGUGCGGUUCAACAAGGGGGUAUUGAUACACAAAAUGGUUUCCAAUUUCCAGAUUUUCGAGAUCAUCCUUGAGGUCAAGGAUUAUUUGAAGCAGCAGGGAAUGUAAUGACCAUUGCAUAUGGUAAAAAAUGAGCUGCAGAAUAAUUGAUGAGGCUGCACAGAAUUAUUACACGUGGACGUUCCAGAUUAAACGUCGAUUAAUGAUAUCCGAGGGCCUGGAUUAGAAGCUGAGUAACAACCUAUAACUACCUGAAAUGGGAGCAGCUAUAGGCAUACAUCGAAUCUAGUGAACCCUCUCAAAUACCAUGGCAUUUCAUCGGGGCUUAUAACUAUAUGGAGAGAGGAAGGUCAUUGUGCUCUUUGGAGAGGCUGGUCAGGGAAACUAUUCGGAUAUGGAGUUCAAGGAGG